UCAUAGCUCAGCUGGUAGAGCAUGAGACUCUUUAAUCUCAGGGUCGUGGGUUUGAGCCCCCUAUUGGGCAAAA